GUGAUUUCUAUAACUCAUGUAAUAGGUCCCAAUGGGUCAUGUGAUUUCUGUAACUCAUGUAAUAGGUCCCAAUGGGUCAUGUGAUUUCUGUAACUCAUGUAAUAGGUCCCAAUGGGUCAUGUGAUUUCUGUAACUCAUGUAAUAGGUCCCAAUGGGUCAUGUGAUUUCUGUAACUCAUGUAAUAGGUUCCAAUGGGUCAUGUGAUUUCUGUAACUCAUGUAAUAGGUCCCAAUGGGUCAUGUGCUUUCUGUAAUAUGUCAUUCUAUGUCUUUUUUUUUACUGUCUGAUAUUCCUAUUAAUUAUGUUAAUAUGUAUUCCUAUUCAUUAUAUACAUUUUAUAUAUAUUCAUUAUGUUAAUCUUUAUUUCUAUUUAUUAUGUAAAUGUUUUCUUCCUAUUCAUUAUGUGGAUUUUUAUUUAUAUUUUUGGUCUCUCUUGUCUCGAACAUAGUAGUAUUGUAGUAGUGUAGUACUGUAAUACUCUAGUACUCUAGUACUGUAAUACUCUAGUAGUCUAAUACUCUAGUACUGUAAUACUCUAGUACUGUAAUACUGUAGUACUGUAGUACUCUAGUACUGUGAUACUGUAAUACUGUAGUACUGUAAUACUGUAAUACUCCAGUACUGUAGUACUGUA
ensembl:lncRNA